AGAGGAGAGUUGGAAAUGGAUAUAGUGUGAAUCUUCUGAGAGUCUGUGGAGGAAGGAAGAGGGUGGGUGACGGAUAUCAUGAUGGGAGUGAAUACUGCAAUGCAGAGAAUAUUGCACAGUUAGGCCAGUUAAUUUGGUAAGGAUUAGAAACUACCAUCUUUGUAGAAGGUCCAUUUUCCUUCCAAUUUAAAAACCGGCAGCACGUGUCCAGGAGGAUCUCAGCAAAGCAAAAUAUAGAAAGAACACAGAUUUUCUAGCAGUUACGUUUUGUAGGUUAGAAUGAUUUUAAAUAAAAGGUGAAGAUUAUGCAUACACAUAAUGCUUGUAGAAACAUGGUGGACAAGAACACUGUCACUAACAAAAACUUGGGGUCAAAAAUGGAAACUUCAUAGAAUGAUUAGAGUAGCUAGAAAGUGAUCAUACUGUACAUUGUUUCAGUCUCCAACAAAAGAGAAAGCUGUGGUCACCAGAUUCAAGAUUUAAAAUUGGACAAAACUCAGGAGGUUGGCUGCUGAGGAAACCGUCUCUGAACCACUAGGAUGAGGGAUCAUCUGGGAAUAGUCAUGCUGUCUGACAGUGGACACUCAGCUGAAGCACCCACCCUGGAAGACCUGCCCUUCCAAACUCCUUAUAUGUACUCAGUGGAGGAUGCAGACUCGUCUAGUGAUCACUAGUGAUUUGCCUGAGGAUUGCCUGCCCUUCUCUACUUAAUGUGGAAAUAUCAGGGAGGAAGACAGGAUCCUAAGUCAGUAGGCUAAGCUUGGAAAGCACAGGCAUAUAUGGCAUUGCAAGUAUUUUGGAUGAGUCCUUCUAGUAUAAUACCUGUCUGAAAUUGAAGGAGUGGAUGACAUGAACCUAUACGUUACUCUGAGCCUGGAGGGUGUGCUCAGGGACUGCAGAAAGUGGAAAGAUGAUCUUGCAUGUACAGCAGCUCCAUGAUGCUCUGAUGAUCUGGGUUCUCUCUGUACCUCUGCUUCCUGCAGGUGGUGCCAGGUGACUCUAUUAAAACUGGCUUCUCAGAGGCAGUCAGAAAUUUUGCAUCAUUUGCUUUCUGUGUGUCUGGUGGCAGAGGACCAAGUUGCAGAACUACUCGACACCCAAAAUUGUACCUAAACGGAAUGGGGAACAGUCACUUUACAUGCAAUAGCGUAGUUGCUGUGAUAAAAUUAAAAAUAAUAAAAAAUUAUGCUGACAUGACUGAAAUUUGUCUGCCAGUUCUAGCUGAUGUUUACAAUUGUUACUUCUGAAUAGGAAUGUGGAUUAUGAUUUCCCCUUAACUUAUAGGGAUAUUAUUGUAAUUUGUGCCUGACUGAAAUAUUAACAAAUUACUGUUAUUAUGAAUUCUGAGAGAAUCAACAUAGAUUCCUUGUUCAGAAUAAACCUAAGUUGUGUUCCAAAAAUGUGACAUGAAGUCACACCAUGAAUUACAUAGAUAAAACCCUAAGAAAAUACAGCACGGGACCACCUAGUGAAAGAGAGUAUUUGUCAUGUAUAGAAUUAAGGGGACUGAAUUAAUAUUGCUCAGGCAGCAAUAUUAGAAGUAUGUAUUUUCAAUACUGUGAGACUUCAGUGUGUUUUAACUGUAAGGAUGUAUUCAAGUGCAUGAUUGCAUGUGUACAGUAUGUUGAAUAGGAUGUUUCAUUAAAAUAUUUUUGGUUCAUACAAUGCUUUAUUUAUAUCUCUUUGAAGCUGAAUGCAACUGGAAUAAACUUUGUGUCUUGUGCACAUUUU